GCCCGCAUAGCUCAGCGGAUGAGAGCGUCGCCCUCCGAAGGCGAAGGCCCCAGGUUCGAGUCCUGGUGCGGGCACCA
rnacentral:tRNA from 1 species